rnacentral:rRNA from 1 species
UACGUAGGGGGCAAGCGUUGUCCGGAUUUAUUGGGCGUAAAGAGCGUGUAGGCGGUUUGGUAGGUCCGCUGUGAAAACUCGAGGCUCAACCUCGAGACGCCGGUGGAAACCAUCAGACUAGAGUCCGGAAGAGGAGAGUGGAAUUCCUGGUGUAGCGGUGAAAUGCGCAGAUAUCAGGAAGAACACCGGUGGCGAAGGCGGGUCUCUGGGCCGAUACUGACGCUGAGGAGCGAAAGCGUGGGGAGCGAACAGG